AUUGAACGCUGGCGGCAGGCUUAACACAUGCAAGUCGAGCGGGGUGAUGGUGCUUGCACUAUCACUUAGCGGCGGACGGGUGAGUAAUGCUUAGGAAUCUGCCUAUUAGUGGGGGACAACAUCUCGAAAGGGAUGCUAAUACCGCAUACGUCCUACGGGAGAAAGCAGGGGAUCACUUGUGACCUUGCGCUAAUAGAUGAGCCUAAGUCGGAUUAGCUAGUUGGUGGGGUAAAGGCCUACCAAGGCGACGAUCUGUAGCGGGUCUGAGAGGAUGGGCCGCCACACUGGGGCUGAGACACGGCCCAGACUCCUACGGGAGGCAGCAGUGGGGAAUAUUGGACAAUGGGGGGAACCCUGAUCCAGCCAUGCCGCGUGUGUAAAGAAGGCCUUAUGGUUGUAAAGCACUUUAAGCGAGGAGGAGGCUCUUUUGGUUAAUACCCAAGAUGAGUGGACGUUACUCGCAGAAUAAGCACCGGCUAACUCUGUGCCAGCCGCCGCAGUAA
rnacentral:rRNA from 1 species